GAUGAACGCUGGCGGCGUGCCUAAUACAUGCAAUUCGAGCGAACAGACGAGGAGCUUGCUCCUCUGACGUUAGCGGCGGACGGGUGAGUAACACGUGGAUAACCUACCUAUAAGACUGGGAUAACUUCGGGAAACCGUAGCUAAUACCGGAUAAUAUAUUUAACCGCAUGGUUCAAUAGUGUAAGACGGUUUUGCUGUCACUUAUAGAUGGAUCCGCGCCGCAUUAGCUAGUUGGUAAGGUAACGGCUUACCAAGGCCACGAUGCGUAGCCGACCUGAGAGGAUGAUCGGCAACACUGGAACUGAGACACGGUCCAGACUCCUACGGGAGGCAGCAGUAGGGAAUCUUCCGCAAAGGGCGAAAGCUUGACGGAGCAACGCCGCGUGAGUGAUGAAGGUCUUCGGAUCGUAAAACUCUGUUAUUAGGGAAGAACAAAUGUGUAAGUAACUAUGCACGUCUUGACGGUACCUAAUCAGAAAGCCACGGCUAACUACGUG
rnacentral:rRNA from 1 species